GAAACCCGUCGGCCUCCGAAAUAUCCUUUUCUAGCAUGUAGAACUGGUUACCUGCAGCCCAAGNNNNNNNCACGUCUAGGGCGCAGUAGUCCAGGGUUUCCUUGAUGAUGUCAUAUCCUUAACUCAUUGUCCCUUUUUUUUC
rnacentral:misc_RNA from 1 species